GAUGAACGCUGGCGGCGUGCCUAAUACAUGCAAGUCGAGCGAACAGAUGAGGAGCUUGCUCCUCUGACGUUAGCGGCGGACGGGUGAGUAACACGUGGAUAACCUACCUAUAAGACUGGGAUAACUUCGGGAAACCGGAGCUAAUACCGGAUAAUAUAUUGAACCGCAUGGUUCAAUAGUGAAAGACGGUUUUGCUGUCACUUAUAGAUGGAUCCGCGCCGCAUUAGCUAGUUGGUAAGGUAACGGCUUACCAAGGCAACGAUGCGUAGCCGACCUGAGAGGGUGGUCGGCCACACGGGAACUGAGACAGGGUCCAGACUCCUACGGGAGGCAGCAGUAGGGAAUCUUCCGCAAUGGGCGAAAGCCUGACGGAGCAACGCCGCGUGAGUGAUGAAGGUCUUCGGAUCGGAAAACUCUGUUAUUAGGGAAGAACAAAUGUGUAAGUAACUAUGCACGUCUUGACGGUACCUAAUCAGAAAGCCACGGCUAACUACGUG
rnacentral:rRNA from 1 species